CCCAGAGUGUUGGUAGUCACAGUUAGGCUCAUUUUCAGGGACAGUAUCAGUCCAUAGCUGACAAUCCCAAGGGUCACAUCUGUCUCCCUACAAUCAGCAAUAAGUAUUCUUUCUUUUUCUGUGAGGGUGAAACAGCUGGCCAAAAGGAACUGAUAUUUCUCCAGGACAGAUGGAAAGAUAAGGAUAGGGUGUGAAACCCUUCUGCAAAUUUAUCAGGGUCCUCAGAAUAUCUCCCACAUUUUUCUUUGCACUGUUGGAUAUCAGCUACAGGAAAAGGCACUUAUACCCAAACCGGCCCCUCCAGCCCCUCCAUCUCUCCCAGCGGGAACAAGGCUUGGGAAGCCUCCAAGGAAAGUGUUUCACUUCGAGUAUAUAGGGGUCUCAGGAGUGUGGGGGGCUCAUCAGAGGUUGGGGUGCACAGGGAGGAUUAUAGUAAGGAGAGAGGUGUCCCCCGGGAGCCAGGCGUCGCUCCCUGUAGCAGGGGAUCAAGGAUGUCCACAUCCUCAUUAUUUGCUUUCCUCCUUUGGGGGCUGGAGGUCGACCUACAAAGGGAAGGGUCUUGACACAAGGCCAUAAAAGCUUUGGCAUACGAUACUUAUCACCAUAUGCCUUUUCUCUUACAAAACAAAUCUAAGUGUAAAAUGGGAUUAUAACUUCAGCUCCCAUCUUGGGCCACUUUACUUGACUCCCCAGUUGGUAUUGGGCCAGGCUACAUUCCAGUAGGAGACAAUGUGUUUCUUUUUCAGAUUACCAGGAUCGAAAUGAUCCUGAUGUUUAAGGAUACAGCCAAGUGGAGAAUCUGUUGGGAUACAUGUACUUCUCCCCAUUUUGAUCUGAAGAAAGAAUAAAGGAGAAGAGAGAGAAGAAACACAACCCUUAGGAGCAGUCUCUACAGCACCCAAACGUGAUCAUCAACAGACUCUGUACCACCCGAGCAUGACUAAACGGUUCCAGUGAUGGAAACAGUGGACCAGGGCUACAUCAUCAUGGAACACAAUAGUAGGGCAGAGCUCCUGCAGUAUAUCCAACAGACCAACUGCCUGCAUGAGAAUGAGGCCCAUGGAGUAUACAAGCAGAUUGUGUGUGCCAUCAAAUACUGCCACAAAAAAGGCAUGAUACACACACACACGUGAAAUCUAACAUCCUGCUGCAUGCCCAAGGAUACAUCGAGAAGAGCGACUUUGGCUUUAGCUUCAGAUUCUGAUAGAGUUGUGUGCUGUUUUUUCAGUCCAUGCCACCAAACUCUUCCUGUACCACAAAUACAAUGGCCUGAGUGUCCCCCUGGACUACAUGGUCACAGCUGCCUUCCCAUUUAAAGGGAAGACAUUUUUGCAGCUGCAGCAGCAGGUCCUGCACCCAAGGUAUGGCAUACCAUCUUACCUCUCUGUGGAACUGCAAGGCAUCAUCAUUCAAUUACUCACCCUCAAGCCUAGCGAGAAGACUGCCCUGGAGAACAUCAUGGGGAGCCUGUGCCUCAGCCAAGUCUGACAAACGACAGUACUCAAAAACUUUGAAGACCUAUCUCUGGACCAAGCCAAACCCGGCCAAUGUGCUGAUCUAAUCAGGGAUGCAACCUCACCAUCUGUGAAAGGGACAAACAACUGCCUGACCCA